rnacentral:rRNA from 1 species
AUUGAACGCUGGCGGCAGGCCUAACACAUGCAAGUCGAACGGUAGCACAGAGAGCUUGCUCUCGGGUGACGAGUGGCGGACGGGUGAGUAACGUCUGGGAAACUGCCCGAUGGAGGGGGAUAACUACUGGAAACGGUAGCUAAUACCGCAUAACGUCGCAAGGCCAAAGUGGGGGACCUUCGGGCCUCACACCAUCGGAUGUGCCCAGAUGGGAUUAGCUAGUAGGUGGGGUUAUGGCUCACCUAGGUGACGAUCCCUAGCUGGGCGAAGAGGAUGGACAGCCACAAUGGAACGGCGACACGGUCCAGACUCCUACGGGAGGCAGCAGUGGGGAAUAUUGCACAAUGGGCGCAAGCCUGAUGCAGCCAUGCCGCGUGUAUGAAGAAGGCCUUCGGGUUGUAAAGUACUUUCAGCGGGGAGGAAGGCGGUGGAGUUAAUAACUUCACCGAUUGACGUUACCCGCAGAAGAAGCACCGGCUAACUCCGUGCCAGCCGCCGCCGUAA